rnacentral:rRNA from 1 species
AUACGAAGGGUGCAAGCGUUAAUCGGAAUUACUGGGCGUAAAGCGCGCGUAGGUGGUUCGUUAAGUUGGAUGUGAAAGCCCCGGGCUCAACCUGGGAACUGCAUCCAAAACUGGCGAGCUAGAGUAUGGCAGAGGGUGGUGGAAUUUCCUGUGUAGCGGUGAAAUGCGUAGAUAUAGGAAGGAACACCAGUGGCGAAGGCGACCCCCUGGGUAAAUACUGACGCUGAGGUGCGAAAGCGGGGGGAGCAACCAGGAUUGGAUACCCUGGUGUCCCACGCCGUAAACGAUGUCGCCUAGCCGUUGGGAUCCUUGAGAUCUUAGUGGCGCAGCUAACGCAUUAAGUCGACCGCCUGGGGAGUACGGCCGCAAGGUUAAAACUCAAAUGAAUUGACGGGG